rnacentral:rRNA from 1 species
CACGUAGGCGAUAUUUAAGUCAGGGGUGAAAUCCCAGAGCUCAACUCUGGAACUGCCUUUGAUACUGGGUAUCUUGAGUAUGGAAGAGGUAAGUGGAAUUCCGAGUGUAGAGGUGAAAUUCGUAGAUAUUCGGAGGAACACCAGUGGCGAAGGCGGCUUACUGGUCCAUUACUGACGCUGAGAUGCGAAAGCGUGGGGAGCAAACA